UGUAUGUUGGUUCCAUUUUAAAGAGGUCAAAAUUGAUUAUUGAUUAUGACAUGUUUUGUUGUUUUUGAAUAGAAUUGAUUAUGUCUCAAUUGAUUCGGGAUUUGUAGCUGUGAUAAGGAGCAAACUCCUAAGAAAUUAAAAAACAAGAUGAUGAGUGGUGAAGUAGAAAUUAAAUCGAUGGCUUAAUUUGUUUACAUCUGCUUAAGAGAAUGCUUGCAUCUCUGUACUAGUGUUCUUGUUCUGAUUUUCAUGUGGAAACUGUGUUGUGGCAUCUUUAAAUUUUAUUCUACCACCAUCCGAAAAUUUUAAACUUUACUUAGUAUAAAAUGAAUUAUUUAAAUCUUCAACACAACAUCUUAAUUAUUUAAACUUUACUUAGUAUAACUUUACUUACUAUUUUCUUUUCUUUGAAUUGCAGGGAUUGGAUCUUUGACAAUCUCAACAUGAGAAGAUGGCAUCACACAAGAUUGUGUGGCAAACUAUAUUUAUGGUAACAUGUUGGCACUUGUGGAAGUGGAGGAAUAAGAGCAUUUUUGAAGAGGAGUUCCAUCGUCCUUUCAAUCCAAUUGAUAUGAUUCUCAAAAUGGCUAUGUAGAUUGAUAAUUGCAAACAAAAUAACAUAUUAGAAAAGUCCCACAUCGGGAGUUUUAAAACAAUGGAGAGAAUGAUUUAUCUAUAUAAAAAAGCAGCCCAUCUCACACUUAAUUGAACUUCGAGUAGUUGAGUCAUUUGUUGAUGGAGGACCUUUAAAGAUUACUCUGCUGGAUUGAUGCCAUUUUGCAACUAUUCGGAAAUCAAAGCUUCCGAAGAGUCUCUUCUGCUACCAUAUAGCAAAGUGCUUAGUGAUGAAGUAACGUCUCCAGAUAUAAGUCAAAAUGUGCUUUCAUUUCUCUUAAAUUAUUGAUGAGAUGGCACUACAACUACUGUAUUAAGAAUUGAAAUUUGAAACUCCAUAAAUUAUGGCUGCUCUAUGCUUUUAAGUGGACUUCUUUUAAAGUCAUAACAAAGUUGGAUGGAUGAGAACAACUACUACUAUAGAAAUUCAUAAUUAUGUUGACAAUCAUUUAAUUUAUUUCCUUUCAUUUUUUUCAGUUGAAUUAUUGUCACUACCAAAGAUAGGAUGAGUUGAUGAGUUGUUUUAUUAGCACAAAGUUUACUUGUCUUGAAACUGUGUAUGUAUAUGAAUGUUUCUGUUUGCUAGUGUGCAAACGAGUAACUUUGUCAUUAAACAUUAACACUUCAUUCAUUGAUUCUUGUGCGAAUGUGCAUGUAAAUUUUGCAUGUUGGUGCAACUUUUCUCAAUUUCUUAGACAAUUAUACUAUAGUAUGCUACAUUACUAAUCCACUUAUGGAUAGCAGUAUAUGAUCUCGCAAUUUUAAGAUUUUGAAA
rnacentral:lncRNA from 1 species